AAUAGAUACCCGGUAGUCCACGCCGUAAACGGUGGGCACUAGAUGUGGGGCUCUUUCCAUGAGUUCCGCGUCGCAGCUAACGCAUUAAGUGCCCCGCCUGGGGAGUACGGCCGCAAGGCUAAAACUCAAAGGAAUUGACGGGGGCCCGCACAAGCGGCGGAGCAUGCGGAUUAAUUCGAUGCAACGCGAAGAACCUUACCAAGGCUUGACAUAUACGGUCUAUCCCUAGAGAUAGGGAGUGCUUCGGCGCCGUAUACAGGUGGUGCAUGGUUGUCGUCAGCUCGUGUCGUGAGAUGUUGGGUUAAGUCCCGCAACGAGCGCAACCCUCGUUCUAUGUUGCCAGCGCGUAAUGGCGGGGACUCAUAGGAGACUGCCGGGGUCAACUCGGAGGAAGGUGGGGAUGACGUCAAAUCAUCAUGCCCCUUAUGUUCUUGGGCUUCACGCAUGCUACAAUGGCCGGUACAAAGGGCUGCAAUACCGUAAGGUGGAGCGAAUCCCAAAAAGCCGGUCUCAGUUCGGA
rnacentral:rRNA from 1 species